rnacentral:piRNA from 1 species
UGGGCAGCCUCGUUGGUUUGGGCCUC